UUCAUCACUUGCUUGUAUGGUACCUACUAUUUUUGUACAUCUCUAGAGUUGUAGAGAAGGCAAUGAUGAUUCACUAUGAUUAGAAUAAUUUCUGGCUCAAUUAAAUAAAUGUGGAAAGGUGAAAAAAUGGAAAAAGACAAAGUGGAAGGGAUCUUUUAAAAGAGGGUAAGGGAUGGGAUGCCUGGGUGGCUCAGACAGUUGGUCAUCAGACUCUUGAUUUGGGCUCAGGUCAUGAUCUCGUGGUGGUGGGAUCAAGCCCCGCAUUGGGCUCCAUGCUGAGUGUGGAGCUUGCUUGGGAUUCUUCCUGCCCCUCUCCUCCUUGUGCUUGCUCUCUCUCACUCAAGAAGAAAGAAAGAAUAAAAGAGUGUAAGGGGCCAAAUACAAAUCCUAUCAAGUUUUUGCCCUGGCCUCAGAAAAUUUGCCCUAUAUGCUAUACUAUAGCUAGUUCCAAUCAUUGAGAUUUCCUAUGGGUCUCAUGAGAUAUUUUGAAUAUUUUCCAAAUCAAAAAUCUCAAGUAUUCUCAUAGAAUUUAAGGAUUAUAAUUAAAAUAUGUGGAAAAAUGGGAGCUUCAACUUAAUCACCACCAGGAUAGGUCCUGUCCUUUUUUGCCUACUCUUUGUGGCUACUCAUGGAGGCAGAGGUCAAAUGAAGUUUUGGGAAAAUACUGCACUUUUUAACCCAAAGAAGGCAGGGAGAACAGAGUCAUAGGUCACAGUCUUAGCCACUGCCACCAAAGUUUUGAUUCUUCCUUUAGGAGAGCCAACAAUUAAAGGAAGAAACUUACUUCCAGCCCCCUCUAGAUAAAAAGUAAAUCUGAAUAAAUUUAACCCCUACAUUGCUAUCCUUUUACCUUCCAAGCCACUGGUUGCUUAGCAGAAUAAUCUGGUUUCUCCUUCAUUUCCAGGUUUACAUAUAUGGGCCUCACUUUACUCUGAAACAGAAAGGCUGUCGCUUAAGUGCUGUAGAGAGGAAGAAAGCAUGAGCGCAGAAGAGGGGCAAAAGGAGAGAGAGAGAGAAAGAGAGAGAAUCUUAGACUCCACGCUCAGUGCAGAGCCAACAUGGGACUCGAUCCCACAACCCUGAUAUCGAUCAUGACCUGAGCUGAAACCAAGAGUUGGAUGCUCAACCAACUGAGCCACCCAGCAGCCUCAGGGACCUGUGGGACAACAAAAGAUCUAAAGUUCCUGUUAGAGCCUCUGAAGAGGAGGAGAAAGGGUGGAGCUGAAAAAGUACUCAAAGAAGUUAUGGCUGAAAACUUCUCAAACUGGGAUAUGACUGAAUCCUCAGCAGCAAAUAGAAUUCACUGGUCCAUUACAUGAACACAAAGGCUGUUAGAAUGUGCAUGCCUGGGAGUACCUGGAAUAACACAGGUAAAAUCAGGAGUGUUCUGAGAAAGCAGGAUGGAAAGAUGAAGAUUUGAGACUGUCUUGCCUACUACCUGGCAGGCCAACAGGAUGGAACGAGGAAAGUCUCUGGCAGAAGGCUGCAGCUCAACUGCUGAAGGUUUUACUGGUGGUGAACUAGGAAAGUAUAUCUGUGGAAAGCAAUGUUGCUAAAGAAAUUGCCACAGCCACCUUCACCUUCAACAACCACUGCCCUGAUGAGUCAGCAGUCAUCAACAUGGAGGUGAGAGCUUCAACUAGGAAAAAGAUUGACUCACUGAAAGCUCCAAUGAUGGUUCACAUUUUUUUAGCAAUAAAACAUUUUUAAAUUAAGGUAUGUACAUUGUUUUUUUUAGACAUAAUACUGUUGCACACUUAAUAGACUAUAAUAUAGUGUAAAGAUAACUUUUGUACAUACUGGGAAAUGAAAAAAAUUAUUUGACUCACUUUAUUGCAGUAUUUGCUUUAUUGCUGUGGUCUGGAACAAAACCUGCAAUAUCUCUAAGGUAUGCCUGUACAGACUGGGCAGGGGGCUUGGGUAGGGCAAGUGAGUGGAAACUAGGAGGCCAUUGCAAAUGUCCAGCAGUUUCAACACAAAGUGGUAAAAGUAUAGGGAGUGAGAAGUGGUCAUAUUGGGGAUAUUAUUAAGGCAGAGUCAAAAAGAUUUCUUGAUGGAUUGAAUGUGGGUUUGAAUGAAUGUAAGGAUCAGGGACGCCUGGGUGGCUCAGUUGGUUAAGCGUCUGCCUUCAACUGAGGUCAUGAUCUCUCAGUUCAUGAGUUCAAGCCCUGCAUUGGGCUCCAUGCUGUCAGCUCAGAGCCUGGAGCCUGCUUUGGAUUCUGUCUCUCUCUCUCUCUCUGUCCAUACCAGGAUCUCUCUCUCUCUCUCUCUCUCUCUCUCUCUCUCUCUCUCUCAGAAAUAAACAUUAAAAAAUAUUGAAAAAAUGCAAGGAUCAAGGAUGACUCUGGAUUUUUACAUGGAAUGAUAUGAGUGCUUUAAGUUCAUAGAAAAAUAAGCAAAGUGUUAUGGCAGCACAUAGAACAAGCAAUUACUUUUGACUGGGAUUAUCAAGGGAGUGUAGAUGAGCAUUGAAGGGUAAAUAUCCUUGGAUUCAACAGGCAUGUAGGGUGCACAAUUUAGAGAGGCCCUCACUCUCAGGGCAGUGGAGAUGCAGGGCUGGCACCUGAGUGAGUGUUUCCUUAUCUUUUGCACCCUCAGGGCCUUGUUAGCCUCACCCUAGUCCCAGCUCUGGCACUCAAAGAAGAGGUAAGUGAACAUUCAGGCUAGAGAAAUGUCAGGAGCAAAGAGAUAGAAGAAGCCUGCAAAGAGAUUGCUGCAAUUUUCUGGACGAGAAGUUAAGUGUUGGAAUUCCAGAGAAGUUUCUAGGCUCUCUAUCCUCUCUCACUCCCUCUCUCUUUUUUUGGCAGGCCCCAAGGGCAGCCUUCUUGUCUUUCCGUUUUUUAUGUUGCCAUUGCCUCCACAUCCUUUUGUAAUUUUCUUUCACAAGACUAGCUGUAGAGAUAAGUCUGCUUUCCAUAAAUUCCUUCUUCCUCAGAUGUCCAAAGGCAAAAACCUGGUCCUUGUUGUUUUUUGGGUUUUGGUGGUUUUUUUUUUUUUUUGAGUUUAUCAUUAAUCACUAAAGAAUCGAAUACACAUAGAGAUGUUACAAAGUGAAGAAAUUCUUAAUAUCCCAAAAUAUAAAGUGUUCAUACAACUUAAUAGCAAAAACACCCACAAUCUGAUUAAAAAAUGAGCAGAGAAUCUGAACAGACAUUUUCCCAAAGAAGACAUACAGAUGGCCAAUAGGUACAUGAAAAAGUGGUCAACAUCACUAAUCAUCAGGGAAAUGCAAAUCACAACCACAAUGAGAUACCACCUCACACAUGUCAGAAUUGCUAUUAUCAGAAAAAGCACUAACAAAUGCUGGCAUAGAUGUAGAGAAAAGGGAGCCCUCACACACUAUCAGUGUAAGGGAUUGUAAAUUGGUGCAGCCACUAUGGAGAAUAGUAUGGAGGUUCCUCAAAAAAUUAAAAAUAGAACUCCCGUAUUACCCAGUGAUUCCACUUUUGGGUAUUUAUCUUAAAAAAUGAAAACACCAACUCAAAAAGAUAUAUACACCUCCAUGUUCUUUGCAGCAUUAUUUACAAUAGCCAAGGUAUGGAAAUAUUUCAAGUGUCCAUUGACAGAUGAAUAAAGAAAAUGUGGUAUAUAUAAACCAUGGGAUAUUAUUUAGCCAUAAAAAGAAUGAAAUCUUGCCAUCUGUGACAACAUGAAUGGAUUUUGAAAGCAUCAUGCUAAGUGAAGUAAGUCAGACAUAGAAAGAGAAAUACUGUAUGUUCUUACUUACAUGUGGAAUCUAAUCCCAGCCCCCCCCCCCCCCAAAAAACAAGCUCAAGAUACAGAGAACAAAUUGGUGGUUGCCAGAGGUGGGAUGGGGGUAAGGGCAAAAUAGGUAAAGGGAAUCAAAAGAUACACAUUUCCAGCUAUAAAAUAAGUCACAAGGAUGUAAUAUACAGCAUGACAACUAUAGUAAAUAAUAAUGUAUUGCAUAUUUGAAGGUUGCCAAGAGAGUAGAUCUUAAAGGUUCUCAUCAUAAGAAAAAAUAAUCUGUAAUGAUAUGUGGUGACAGAUAUGAACUAAAUUUAUGUGGUGAUCAUUUUGCAAUAUAUACAAAUGAUGAAUCAUUCUGUUGUACAUCUGAAACAAAUUUAAGGUCUAUCAAUUAUGCUUCAAUUUAAAAAAUUGUAUUGGCAAAAAAAAGAGAGAGAAUAUUCUUAAAGUUUUUAACAAUUUUAGAUAUGACUCUGUACCUGAGGUGGUCAUAGACAUGAAGCAGGGAGAAAUCCCUGUAUUAGCUUGCUCAGGCUGCCACAGAUUGGGUAACCACAGAUCGGGUAACAUAAACAACAGAAAUGUAUUGUCUCACAGUUCUGCUGGAAAUCCAACGUCAAAGUGUCAGCAUGUUUGGUUCCUUCUAAAAGUUGUUAGGGAAAACCUGUUCCAUGCCUCUCUGCUAGCUUCUGGUGGUUUGCUGGCAAUUUUUGGUGUUUUUUGAUUUGUAGAUGUAUUAACCAAUCAUAUAUCUUCAUAUGGUGUUCUCCCUGUGUGCAUGUUUGUGUCCAUAUUUUUCUUUUUUAUAAGGAAUUCAGUCAUAUUGAAUUAGAACUCUACCCUACUCCAGUCUGAACUCAUCCUAACUUAACUAAUUGCAUCUACAACAAUCCUAUUUCAAAAUAAGGUCACAUUCUGAGGUAUUGGGGGUUAGGACUUCAACAUAUGAAUUUUUGGAGGACAUAAUUGAACCCAUAAGAACCUCCCUCUGCAAUUUUUUUAUCCCUGAAGAUAGUUCGACAGAUGGCCUCUCCUUUAACAUAUAAGACUUAAGAUCCUGUAAGGCUAAUUUUGCACUC